UACGAAGGGGGCUAGCGUUGUUCGGAAUUACUGGGCGUAAAGCGCACGCAGGCGGUUCGGUCAGUCAGAAGUGAAAGCCCCGGGCUUAACCUGGGAACUGCUUUUGAUACUGCCGAGCUUGAAUCACGGAGAGGGUAGUGGAAUUCCGAGUGUAGAGGUGAAAUUCGUAGAUAUUCGGAAGAACACCAGUGGCGAAGGCGACUACCUGGCCGUCGAUUGACGCUCAUGUGCGAAAGCGUGGGGAGCAAACAGG
rnacentral:rRNA from 2 species